rnacentral:rRNA from 1 species
UACCAGCUCUUCGAGUGGUGUGGAUGUUUAUUGGGCCUAAAGCAUCCGUAGCUGGCUGGGCAAGUCCCCUGUUAAAUCCACCGAUUUAAUCGUUGGAGUGCGGGGGAUACUGUUCGGCUAGGGGACGGGAGAGGCAGACGGUAUUUUCGGGGUAGGGGUGAAAUCCUAUAAUCCCGGGAAGACCACCAGUGGCGAAGGCUGUCUGCUAGAACGCGCCCGACGGUGAGGGAUGAAAGCUGGGGGAGCGAACCGGAUUAGAUACCCGGGUAGUCCCAGCUGUAAACGAUGCAGGCUAGGUGUUUGGGCGGCCACGUGCCGCUCUAGUGCCGCAGGGAAGCCGUUAAGCCUGCCGCCUGGGGAGUACGGCCGCAAGGCUGAAACUUAAGGAAUUGGCGGGGGAGCACCACAAGGGGUGAAGCUUGCGGUUU